rnacentral:rRNA from 1 species
GACGAACGCUGGCGGCGUGCUUAACACAUGCAAGUCGAACGGAAAGGCCCCUUUGGGGGUACUCGAGUGGCGAACGGGUGAGUAACACGUGCGUAACCUGCCCUUGACUUCGGGAUAACUUCAGGAAACUGGGGCUAAUACCGGCUAGGAAUCCUUGCUGCAUGGUGGGGGUUGGAAAGCUUCGGCGGUUUUGGAUGGACUCGCGGCUUAUCAGCUUGUUGGUGGGGUAGUGGCUUACCAAGGCUUUGACGGGUAGCCGGCCUGAGAGGGCGACCGGCCACAUUGGGACUGGGAAUCGGCCCAGACCCCUACGGGAGGCAACAGGGGGGAAUAUUGCACAAUGGGCGGAAGCCUGAUGCAGCAACGCCGCGGGCGGGAUGACGGCCUUCGGGUUGUAAACCGCUUUCAGCAGGGGCGAAGCUUGUGGUGACGGUACCUGCAGAAGAAGCACCGGCUAACUACGUG